UACGAAGGGGGCUAGCGUUGUUCGGAAUUACUGGGCGUAAAGCGCGUGUAGGCGGGUCUUUAAGUCAGGGGUGAAAUGCCAAGGCUCAACCUUGGAACUGCCUUUGAUACUGGAGACCUUGAGUCCGGGAGAGGUGAGUGGAAUUGCGAGUGUAGAGGUGAAAUUCGUAGAUAUUCGCAAGAACACCAGUGGCGAAGGCGGGUCUCUGGGCAUCUCCUGACGCUGAGGCGCGAAAGCGUGGGGAGCAAACGGG
rnacentral:rRNA from 1 species